ACAGCACGCUCAGUCUCGGUGAUGUCAAUACAGCGGUAGGUAGGCCUAAUGCGUUGGUAGUGCAGUAUACUUCCUGGUAAAUUAACUGGUAAAUUGAAACUUAUUUUUACACAUAAAUACGUAUGGCAUAUGCCACGCAAUUUACCCAAACUUGAUCUUGCUCGUUAAAAAUAAAGAAAAUAGCAUCGUUAGUCUGAAAAUGGGGAGCACGGUGAUGGAGUCUAACAAGAAGGAUAACUCGAAGAAAAAGGGAAUCCUACGCAUAAAUAUGCCAGACCUUAGGGCUUUUACCUCCCCCAUACUGGAUGCAGAGUCUGGUGGCUCGGAAAAGGAUGGCUCUCCUAAGGGAGAGGUCUGCUUUCACUCUGCCAGCCUAACUAAAGGACUCUUUGUGAGGGGUUGUGCUGCUGGUGUCAGCCAACCAUCUAGUCCCAUGUUUGCCCCUGCCCACUCCCAGUCUCAGACCAGUCCGGGCUCUUCUAGAACCAUCUUCCCCUACCCCUCCACCCACCAGGACCGCUCACCACCCAAGUCGCCCUGCCGCCUCAACUUCAGCGGUAUCUUCCGCUCUUCAUCCAACUCAUCGUCCAACUCUAGCAUCAAGCUCUUCUCUAGGACCAGGAAAGUCUCCGGCCUCUCGUCUUCCCCCACCCCACCCAGCACCCCCACCCAGGCCCCUAGCCAGUCCAUGCUGUUCCCCCAGGAGGUCCACCAGAGUGUCCCUGAACGUCUGGGCCGCUCCCUCUCAUCACCCCCACCAGACACCGGACAGCGCCUCAGCCUGCCCACCUCUGCCAAGCCCUCCUCCUCUCCGAUACCCUACACCUUCCCACUGCCCCAAGCUACCUCACAGCCAAAUUUCUACGGUUUAUUCGAAGGCAUGUUGGAGAAACUUGAACUAGACGAUGAUGGUGUUGCUGCUGAACCAGACAGUGACAUUUACAUGCGCUUUAUGAAGUCCCAUAGCUGCUAUGACAUCGUCCCCACCAGCUCCAAGCUGGUUGUGUUUGACACUGGACUGCAAGUGAAGAAGGCUUUCUUUGCCUUAGUGGCCAAUGGGGUGCGAGCUGCUCCACUGUGGGACUCGGAGAGGCAGUGUUUUGUGGGAAUGUUGACAAUCACCGACUUCAUCAUCAUACUACACAGAUACUACAAGUCACCGCUGGUGCAAAUAUAUGAGUUGGAAGAUCAUAAGCUUGAGACAUGGAGAGAAGUAUAUUUGCAAGAGACAUUCAAACCUUUAGUGAACAUAUCACCCGAAUCAAGCAUAUUUGAUGCAGUGUAUUCCCUCAUCAAAAACAAGAUCCACCGUCUGCCUGUCAUCGACCCUGUUACGGGAAACCCACUUUACAUCCUCACACACAAGAGGAUCCUCAAGUUCCUACAGCUCUUUGUGCGCGAGAUGCCCAAGCCAGCCUUUAUGAAGCAGACCCUGGGGGAGCUGGGCAUCGGUACCUACAAGAACAUAGCUUUCAUCCACCCUGACACACCCAUCAUCAAGGCCCUGCAGAUCUUCGUAGAGAGGAGGGUGUCUGCCCUGCCUGUGGUGGACGUCUCUGGAAAAGUGGUGGAUAUUUACUCCAAAUUUGAUGUCAUAAACCUGGCAGCAGAGAAGACUUAUAAUAACCUGGACAUCACCGUGACCCAGGCUCUGAGGCAUCGCUGGCAGUACUUUGAGGGGGUCAUGCAGUGCCACAAGCUGGACACACUGGAGACCAUCGUGGACAGGAUUGUCAAAGCAGAGGUCCAUCGGUUGGUGGUGGUGGAUGAUCGCUCGGCCAUCGAGGGCAUCGUCUCCCUGUCUGACAUUCUGCAGGCCCUGGUGCUCAGCCCAGCAGGUAUAGACGCUCAGCAUUCCUAACCCCCCUCAUCCUACACCUGGACCCUGAGCUCCCUCCCUCCCCACCCACCCUGUCGUGCCCCUCCCUGUACCUCUCACACAGAUUCCUGCCGAGAGGAGGGCCUGCUGGAGUGAAAGGGGAAAAGCUGUGGGGACCACUGAGGUUGAAGGCUGUUAUAAAACUUAGUAUUCUACUUCUAUAGCUUCAGACAUGGGGCCCGGAGCCCUUGGUAUUGAUGCUCUAGACUUUGAAACCAAAAGGAUGGGCUGGACUUCACUAGACUGGAUUGGACUGAUACGGGGAUGUAAAGGGCUCUAAUUCCCGAGGACCAGCAUCUCUCUGUCUAAAUGGAACUGUGCUUCAUUCACUGUGGGAUGGUUAUAGUAGGGUGGAAUGAUGACGCAGGUUGAGCCAGUCUGGAGACUUUGGCUAUGUAUAUGAGAGCUACAUAUAUUUAGGUUGUUCUCUCUAUCAUGCUGCUCUGUCGUUGUUCCCAGCAACAGUGCCUAGUCACUCCCAGUAAGUUUUAAACCUUCAAGGAUCAAGAAGAUUGACCGAUAUGGUCACAGCAUCUUAGAAUUGAUGAUACACACUUUUAGGAGAAAUGGCAGGUUUUCAUGCUUUACCUUGUAAUGGUGGGAGGGGCUGUAUUUUUAUAUGAGUAAUAUGCUGUGAAGAGAGACAGAACAUAAAAAAGGCCUUAUUUUAAGACAUGUUUUGCCUGCUUUAUGUACUUUAUGUACUUUAUGUACUCUGACAAAACUCAUCUGUGUUCUAUUACUGUAAACAACAACGUUUAUAAGAAAAGUGCCAGAGAAAAGCUUUUUUUUAUUUAAGUUUAAACAAAUUAUGUUAAACUGACUACAGUUUAAUAUUCUCUAUUUGUAAAUAUGUGGCAGUAAAAUGUUGUAUUCAGAGCAAGAUGGACUACAAGUGCAAGCGAUAAAUGACACUAUAACAGUUGUAAAUGUUCUUUACUUUUCUAAAAGCAGCUAAAUAAAUAUAAAUAUUUUUAUGGUA